GUCAGCUGCCAUGAGUAGGCCUUAAACAAACACCUUGUGUGCUGUCAUUGUUGGCCUGUGCGUUUCAGCACGAGGCUGGGCCACCACAGCCAAGUGUUUCAAUUCCUGAAGAGCUUCCAGAAGAAAUUAGUAUGUAAUGACCGCACUCUGCAAGAAGAAAGGCCCAUUAUGGCUCUCGCUGACUGUACUUGGCUUUCAUUUGCAAGCUAAAUGGAUGCGUGCGAAGCUCAGCAUUCAGGGAAGGAACUGUUGCAAAUGAGAUGGGCCUUGCCGUGUUGGGUGACUGAUGCACUUCUGCGUCCAGAUGGUACAGACAGGGUUCUAGAAACCAGCUCGCGCUCUGUCUGCCUGUCCCAUCGCUUCCUAUUCUGUGGGCCUUUUGUCAUCAACAGACAUUGAGCUGCCAUUUAUAUUCAACAGACACGUGCACUGAGGAAAAAGGCAUGCCAGCUCAUAACAACAAUAAAUGAUUGCACAGCAUUAAACCGACAGCUUCUUCUGUCACUU
ensembl:lncRNA